AAUGUUUCAUAUGCAUUUGAUCCCUCACAACUCCUCUGAUAAGUAGGUGUUAUUUUCCCCAUUUUACAGAUAAGAAAACUGAGGUUCAGAGAUGUUAAAUGACUUACCAAGGGUGUUUGAAGGAAGAUUCUAAACCAGGUUUCUUUCAUUUCAAGUAUAGAACCCAACCAAUCAUGCUGUGCUCCUUCUCUUCAAGAUGGUAGCACCUGAAUUGGACCUUAAACAAAUCUUUACAGAAGAAAACUGAGAUCAAGGAGAGCUCUACCUCUAUGAUUCCCUUUGGGAAGGCAUCCCCUCUUGGAUUCUCUGAGGAUGGCACUGAUACUAGAGUUAGUGUCGAUGCCAGUUCAUCUACACCACAGACAGCCAUGCCUUUGGAAUAUUUACCAUACUUUAGAACAUAUGAAGGGACCGAUGUUCAACCACCAACCUUGAAUUUAGGUGUUUGCCUACAGGAGGAAGAAAUCACUAAGGAAAAAGAAUACAGGAGUAUAGUCAAUGUUAGACAUAAGGAGGACCAGAAAGACUUUGUUCCCUCCAGUGGAUAUUUUUCAUAUUAUAGAUCUCAGGAGGAAUACUUUGUCAACCCACUUCUCCAGAGCAAAACCCACAGUGGAAAAUCCAAAACUGAAGAAAGAAGAGGAAAUACCAAUAAAACAUUUGAAUCCACUAAUAACCAUAGAGACUCCUUGCUAAGUCUUCAAUCAAAUUUUGAUCUUCACUCCUCCAAGAACUCUCCUUCUGGUAGUUCCCUCCCAGGUGAAACCUCUGAAGAAAGCCAACUGCCUGACCCCUUGUACAGUGAUGAUUGCUCGACAGAGUUCACUCCUUAUUAUAGAACCGAAGAGGUACUGCGGGCCAGCUCCUCCUCAGUUCCUAGAGGCCAUGAGUGAGAUGGCACUGAAAUAAGAAGGAACUGGAUCAUGCGGAAUUACUAUGGGAUGUAUCAGAAACUUAGCGCCUCUUAAAGAAUCCAAAUUUGCAUCUGAUAAGAUCAGGAAGGAUUCCAGCAAUGUGGCAAUUCCUCCAACAACAGCUUGUAGCAAGAAGGAAAAAAAAAAAGCAGAGUAGAAGCUGUGAAACAUCUGGAGAGGAAGCACAGAGAGGGAAUUUUGUCCAUCUGUGUUUCAGUAUGGAGAAAAGAGAAGGAACUUGAUCUGAGGCUUAUGAACAUGAAAGAAAAGGGGGAAGAAAUCCCUGCAUUAAAUCUCCUUCUGCUAAAGUGCACAAUUGUUCAUCUGCAGAGAGGAAUUGAGAGCUGGCUCCAAGAGGCUAGCCAUGCAUUCAAGCUAAAAGCAAGUUAAAAACAGAAGUUACCAUUUAGCCUUAUCUUAACUGUCUCUCUAUCCUCCUCCCUGCUUCCUCUUGUCCCCCCCCCCCCAUAUUGCAGUAAUGAGUGAAUACCCACUGUUUGGGUAGCAGGUUCUCAAAGCACCAAACCACUUGGUAGAGAAUUGAGCUUAGAUUUUCCAUCUCUGAAAGAAUGUGCAUUGGGAUUACAGUGCCUUUCAUUUUCUCCGGAUUUGAUAGUCACAUCCUAUUUCUGGGAACCUAGUCUAGGACACCAUUGCAUUCAGUUGUGACUAAUUGCAGCUUCUUCUUUACAUGGUAACAGUGAGAGUCUACAUGGGAGAGCCCUUUGAGUCUAUUUGGUGUGUUACUCGAACUACCUGUGCCUUUCGAAUAUGCUGAUCACAGUUUAUAUCCAAAAAGAUGAAAGUAAUUGAAGCAUAAACAAAAUGAUCAAUACCAUGAAGUUAAUUUCUCUGAUUUGCUAUGAUUAGGAUAAGGGUCAAGUAGAGUCAUUUGGAUCCGUAAGGAUUACUAGUUCUCACCCAGACUGGGGAUUUGGAUAAAUCUGAAUCUGAAAUCUGAAUGCUUUAAUUUUUUUUAACUAGGAAAAAAAAGCAUUUGGAGCCACAUUAUUUUUGCAAAUAAAUAAUCAUGUUAACAUGAGUGUCA
ensembl:lncRNA